UCGGGGGGAAUCGACCCCCCUCGGUGUCGUAGCUAACGCGUUAAGUGUUCCGCCUGGGGAGUACGCACGCAAGUGUGAAACUCAAAGGAAUUGACGGGGGGCCCGCACAAGCGGUGGAGUAUGUGGUUUAAUUCGAUGCAACGCGAAGAACCUUACCAGGAUUUGACAUCCUGCGAACCUCUUAGAAAUUUGAGGGUGCCUUCGGGAACGCAGUGACAGGUGGUGCAUGGCUGUCGUCAGCUCGUGUCGUGAGAUGUUGGGUUAAGUCCCGCAACGAGCGCAACCCACGUUUUUAGUUGCCAGCAUUUAGUUGGGCACUCUAGAAAGACCGCCGGUGAUAAACCGGAGGAAGGUGUGGAUGACGUCAAGUCAUCAUGCCCCUUACAUCCUGGGCUACACACGUACUACAAUGCUACGGACAAAGGGCAGCAAACUCGCGAGGGCAAGCAAAUCCCAUAAACCGUGGCUCAGUUCAGAUCGUAGGCUGCAACUCGCCUACGUGAAGCAGGAAUCGCUAGUAAUCGCAGGUCAGCAUACUGCGGUGAAUACGUUCCCGGGCCUUGUACACACCGCCCGUCACACCAUGGAAGUUGGCCACGCCCGAAGUCGUUACUCCAACACCUUGUGGAGGAGGACGCCGAAGGUG
rnacentral:rRNA from 1 species